AGUCAAAUGAACAUAAAAAGCAACUUGAAAUGCUACAAAAAAGACUUGACCACACAGUUGAGUUGAGUUCUUGGUGCAAGUGUGGUUUUUGUCAAGUUACACUUCUUCAGAAUCCUCAAGAGGCCUGGUGCUGCCAAGAACUUAAGCCUGUAGCUGAAAGCUUAACACACUAGUCGGUUCUGGCAGAUCUGUCAACUAUUCCAUGUUGUGUCACUCUACACCCAGGUUUCAGACCAGUUUGUUUGGAAAAGUGGUCGCUAAAAAUGGCUGCUAGGAAAUACAAAACCAAAGAACAAAGACGAUACAGAGAAACAGGAUCUGAAAACAUGUUUUUACGAUGUGUUGCAUACAGAGAAUUCACAUCUAUGAUUUAUGGAUGCUUAGGAGAAGAAAGAAGACCAUUACCAGCAUGUGCAUACCAUGCAAUAAGAUCAAAAUUUAAUGAUAAAAAGUUGGAAUUUAGAGGGUACGAAGAAAAUGAAAUAAAUGAGUGAAGUGAAAA